CGGGGCGUAGCGCAGUCCGGUAGCGCACCUGCUUCGGGAGCAGGGGGUCGCUGGUUCAAAUCCAGUCGCCCCGACCU
rnacentral:tRNA from 1 species